UACGUAGGCAGCAAGCGUUGUUCGGAGUUAUUGGGCGUAAAGAGCUCGUAGGCGGUGUGUCACGUCGGCCGUGAAAACCUGCAGCUUAACUGUGGGCGUGCGGUCGAUACGGGCAUCACUGGAGUUCGGCAGGGGGAGACUGGAAUUCCUGGUGUAGCGGUGAAAUGCGCAGAUAUCAGGAGGAACACCGGUGGCGAAGGCGGGUCUCUGGGCAUUAACUGACGCUGAGGAGCGAAAGCGUGGGGAGCGAACAGG
rnacentral:rRNA from 1 species